UAGGGAAUCUUCCACAAUGGGCGCAAGCCUGAUGGAGCAACGCCGCGUGAGUGAAGAAGGGUUUCGGCUCGUAAAGCUCUGUUGUUAAAGAAGAACACGUAUGAGAGUAACUGUUCAUACGUUGACGGUAUUUAACCAGAAAGUCACGGCUAACUACGCGCCAG
rnacentral:rRNA from 1 species